rnacentral:rRNA from 1 species
UACGUAGGGCGCAAGCGUUGUCCGGAAUUAUUGGGCGUAAAGAGCUCGUAGGCGGCCAAGUAAGUGUUCCGUGAAAUCCCAUGGCUCAACCAUGGAGCUGCGGGGCAUACUGCUUGGCUUGAGGUCGGUAGGGGUGCCUGGAACUCUAGGUGGAGCGGUGAAAUGCGUAGAUAUCUAGAGGAACGCCAGCAGCGAAAGCGGGGCACUGGGCCGAUUCUGACGCUGAUGCGCGAAAGCGUGGGGAGCAAACAGG